AUGUUGUCCCGUCCUCCACUUUUGCGCCUGUGGACUACAUUUCCCAGAAGUUUCAGUGGUUCGAGUCACCUUUUCCCGGAAACUUUCUUCCACCAGAGCUUAGAAGACUGUCUCCGCGGUCGUGGCAGGACUGGAUCGAACUCGGGUCCUUGCGCUUGCGCAGCAGGUGGCGAAACCACUGAGCUAAAUCCCCAGCCCCAGAGGGAAGGAACAAACAGAUCAAGUAAGAGGAAGCAAGAAUGGAAUUGGCAAAUGAUAAUACUGCCCUUAAUGAGAGGAGUACCACAGAAGUGAUUCCUGAAGGCAGACAGGAGAGAACUGAGUAAAUCAAAGGUGGGAAUGAGUCUGGUGGAAGACAUCACCUUGAUUUUCCUCGGGUCCUCCUCAGGACCAUUAAACACCUGUGGGAAUACAAAAGAAGACUGCUUAAUACUGUUACUUUUUGAGCUAGGAAUCAGAAGGCAAGAACUAUGAACCCAUGUUUACUGAACACCUUGUAUAUGUCAAGAAUUACAAGAUAGAUCUUCUCAUUUAGUCCUCACUAUGGCCCUGUGACAUAGGUAUUGCCCUGCUUUACAGAUGAGAAAAUCGAAGCUUAGGGAGGAUAAAUAAAGGA